GGGGAAUAUUGGACAAUGGGCGCAAGCCUGAUCCAGCCAUGCCGCGUGAGUGCUGAAGGCCCUAGGGUUGUAAAGCUCUUUCAGCGAGGAGGAUAAUGACGUUACUCGCAGAAGAAGCCCCGGCUAACUUCGUGCCGGCAGCCGCGGUAAUACGAAGGGGGCUAGCGUUGUUCGGAAUCACUGGGCGUAAAGCGCACGUAGGCGGACUUUUAAGUCAGGGGUGAAAUCCCGGGGCUCAACCCCGGAACUGCCUUUGAUACUGGAAGUCUUGAGUCCGAGAGAGGUGAGUGGAAUUCCGAGUGUAGAGGUGAAAUUCGUAGAUAUUCGGAAGAACACCAGUGGCGAAGGCGGCUCACUGGCUCGGUACUGACGCUGAGGUGCGAAAGCGUGGGGAGCAAA
rnacentral:rRNA from 1 species